AAUCUAACGGAAGUUUUCGGAUGGAAGCUGGAUUGACUGAGUGGCGGACGGGUGAGUAACGCGUGGGUAACCUGCCUCACACUGGGGGACAACAGUUAGAAAUGACUGCUAAUACCGCAUAAGCGCACAGGACCGCAUGGUCCGGUGUGAAAAACUCCGGUGGUGUGAGAUGGACCCGCGUUUGAUUAGCUAGUUGGUGGGGUAACGGCCUACCAAGGCGACGAUCAAUAGCCGACCUGAGAGGGUGACCGGCCACAUUGGGACUGAGACACGGCCCAAACUCC
rnacentral:rRNA from 1 species